AGCAUAUGUCGGCAGCAGGAAUGGUGCUGAGGAAAUGUCUCCUGGCAUCUUUCAGAAGUCCAUUUAUGAAAGGGUCUCCUAACUCAGACUGCUGAACAUGACGGUACUGAAUUACAAAUUUACGAAGAAAGAGAAUCCAGGAGAUACCAAGAAGCUAGAUGUUAACCUGCAGGAUUCUAAAUCUGAGGAACUGUGCUUGGAACAGUGAGGGAAGAGGUGUGCAAACAGCAGAAUGUGUCAGGCUUUUUCAUUUUACUUAUGGCAUAUGUCAAGGGCUUCCAAUCUAAACCUUCUUUUACCUUAUCAAGACACAGGUAAGUUUCUGUAUUAUUUUUUCCUUGGAAGGGGCCAUGGCUCAAAAAUAGUCAUUAUGGACUGUUAACCAAUCUACUCCUUGCCAAAGACUUUUUCAUGAUGGUAUCAGGUGACUGGGCAAGUCUUGGGCUUCAAGAGCCUUCUAGAAAAUUAGGAUAGAUGAUCCAAAGCUGGGACUGUCCCAGGCACACCAGAUAGAUGCCUGCUUCUUUACCUUAGGUUGGAUGUGUUUUUAUCUUUACUUAAUGGUUUUUGGCAAUUAUUUAGCCUGGCUCAUAAGAUCAUUAUAACUCAUUAAGAGUUUUAGGCUACAUCUGAAGUUGAGGGAUUUCAAUUGUCCUCUUCAUGCAAGAAAUCAAUAUCUGAAUUGCAGUUACAAGGUUGCAAAGCAAUGCAAAAUCAUCAUAACAAGAAAAUAGUCAUAAACAAACUAGCUACUUAAAAACUUAGCCCUUCCUGAAAGAUCCCUCAUAGCUUAACACUGCGACCUAACCCCACUUAUCACGUCAAUGCCUUUUGCAGGUCAUUCAGUGCUUGUGUAAUGUAGUAAACACCCCACAAUUACAGUCUAGAUAAGGGGCAAACCUGUCCAUGCAAACUCACUGACAAAUGAAGAUCUGGCCAACUUGGAGAAAAAAAAAAUCAACAAAUAAUAACAUCACAAAAACUUCAAAAGAAAAUAAUUGACAAGGCUGGUCAUGGUAGCUCACAUCUGUAAUCCCAGCACUUUGGAAGGCUGAGGUGGGUGGAUCUCUUGAGGCCAGGAAUUUGAGAACAGCCUGGACAACAUGGUAAGACCCCCAUCUCUACAAAACUUUUUAAACUAGCCAAGCAUGGCGUUGUGUGCCUGCAGUCCCACCUACCAGGGAGGCUGAGGUGGGAGGAUUGCCUGAGCCCAGGAGGUCAAGGCUGUAGUGAGCCAUAAUCAUGCCACUGCACUUGUUCAUUGUUUAAUCUAAGAGUUUAGUUUGUAGUUGCUAUUAUAAUCCAUAUUUUUUGUCAAAUAAGACAAAACAAUUUAUUUUUAUAAGUGUUAUUUCAUUUUUCAAGAUAAAGUCUCAAUCAAUCUUCUUCCCCAUCACCCCCGGACAGUAAAUAAACUGAAGAUUUUGGUUCCUGAUAAGUGGCCUUUUCCUGUUACUAAAACUCCUAAAACAAUGAGCAUAUUUUUAAAAUGUGGAUAAAACUCAGUGUCUGCUCCAAAAGAGACCAUCUUUUCCUUCCUCCCCCAAGAUUCAACAGGCCUGUCUUUUCCCGUUCCCCUCUUCUGCAGAAAGUGGAGGAGCUUCAUCUUUUGGAUAUACAAGAUUCUUCUCAAGUUUAUUUUCCUUGCAAAAUAAGUCAGACCUAAGUGGGAGCCUUAAUAGAAUUUUGUCAGGAGAUGUUAGGUUAUCAGGACCUUAAAGAUUGAUCCAGAAGAGGUCUGAAAGGUCCGUAUCACCCAGAAUGACUUUCACUAACAGAGAUCAACAUUACCACCCUGUCGGAGGAUCCUCACUGAUCCUAAACUAUGCUGGUUCUGAAGUGCUAAAUAAUUGCUUUUUCGAGACGGAGUCUCGCACUGUCACCCAGACUGGAAUGCAGUGGAGCGACCUCGGCUCAAUGCAGGCUCCGCCUCC
rnacentral:lncRNA from 1 species